CAUCAAUGAAGAACGUAGCAAAUUGCGAUACUUGGUGUGAAUUGCAGAAUCCCGUGAACCAUCGAGUCUUUGAACGCAAGUUGCGCCCGAAGCCUUCGGGUCGAGGGCACGUUUGCCUGGGUGUCA
rnacentral:rRNA from 1 species